AAUUUAUUAAAUAUUAUAUAUAUAAAAAAUAUAUAUAAAUUUACUAUAAAAAAUUUAAUAGAUAAAAUAUUAUAUUUUAAUGGUAUAAUAUUGAAUAAUAAUUAUAAAAUAUUAAAUAUUAAUAAUAUAAAUAAUAAAUUUAUAUUAAUAAAUUUAAUAAUAUAUAAUUAUAUAAUAUUUGUUAUUUAAAAUAUGAAAGAAGUUAUAUUAAAUUUUUAUUUAAAUAAUAUAUUUUAUAAAAUUAAUUUUAUAAAUAAUAAAUAUUUAAUAAUAUAUACUAAUAAAUAUUUAACAAAAUUAGAUAUAAAAUAUAUGAUUAAAUAUAUAUUUAAAAUUAAUAAUAUUAAAAUUAAUUUAAUAAAUAAAAAAAAUUUUUUAAAAAAAUAUUAUAUAUUAUUUAAAUGAUAUUAAAAUUAAAAAAAUAUAAUACAUAUAAAUAUUUAAAAAAUUUUGGUAAAAAUAAUUUAGGAAAUAUUACUAUUUAUAAUAAAGGUGGGGGUAAAUUAAAAUAUAAUUAUAAAUUAAUAGAUUUUUGGUAUGAUAAUUAUAAUAUAAAUAUUAAUUAUAAAAUAAUUUUAUUUAAAAAAUUAAAAAAUUAUUUUAGAAAUACUUAUAUUGGUUGUAUAUUAUAUUUAUCUUAUAAAUUUAAUAAUUUACAAAAAUAUAUUAUUUUACAGCAUAAUUAUAUAUUAAAUUCUAUUUAUUAUAUAACUAGUAUAAAUAAUAUAAAAAAUGGUAGUUAUUUACAAUUAAAAUAUUGUAAAUUAGGUACAUAUAUAUAUAAUAUAUCUAAUAAUAAUAAAGGUGGUAUUUUUGCUAGAUCAGCUGGUACUUUUGCACAAAUAUUAGUUUUUUAUAAAAAUUUAGUAUAUAUAAAAUUACCAUCUAAAAAAUUUAAAUAUUUAAAUUAUAAUAAUUUUUGUUAUAUAGGUAUAAAUAGUAAUAUUUUAUAUAACAAAUAUAAAAUAAAAAAUGCUGGUUAUAAUAUAUAUUAUAAUAAAAAAGCUAAGGUUAGAGGUAAAGCUAUGAAUGUAUGUGAUCAUCCACAUGGUGGUGGUAAAGGGAAAACUUCUAUAGGUCGUAAAUAUCCUUGUUCUAAAAAGGGAUUAAAUUCUAAGGGAUAUAAAACAAAAAAAAAAAAAAAAUAAAAAAAAAUACAAAAAUAAAAAAAUCUAAUUAUCUAUUAAAUAAAUGUCC
rnacentral:lncRNA from 1 species